GAAUGCUAUUCGAUCGAAAACGAGAAUAAGGGUGUUAAUAUUUCGCCAUUUUUGCGUUUGAAUCAACAUUAAAACUCGUAAAAGGUACGUCUUUCACCAUUUAACUUGAUUUUUUGAUCUAAUUGUUUGAUUUUAAGGGAGGCCAACGCUCGUGAUCUGAUGAAAUCCGGUCAAGAACAUUGGGGGAUUCUUACAGAAGAAAACCAAUGCCAAGAAUGCGCACUCGCAAGAAAAAGGAAGGAGAAGACCAGGUGCAGGUACGGAUACCGAAGAAAAAGCUGAGAAACGAGCUGGAACCAAAAAUUAUGACUCGGGAAACUUCCGCCGGAAGUACAUCAAUUGGUUCCACCAAAUGAGAAAGUCCAAGCACUUCAAAAAUAAAACGGAAAAAUCACAGAACUCUGCCUCCAGUUGAACCCGAAAUUGUUCUGUGCCUGGCAUCCCCGGAUUUUGAACCAAAAUUGACACGAGCAAUCUAUUCCUGCUCAGGGUCAUAUUUGGGAUAAUCGUCGUAGAAACGUUGCGAAAAAAUGCUUCCGAAGAUGAGCUGGACUUAGCAACGAUAACAUUCAGAACCAUAUUUCCAGCUACUUACUCAUCAUUGCAUUUCCGAAGCAAGGUACUUCGGUGCUUUAUUUGUUCCUAUAAAAACCACGACAAAGCAAUGAGGAAAAAUGGAAAGAAGCCUGUUGAGCUGGUUUCGACCACUAAACAUAAUUCUGCAAAGUUGAGGAAACAGCCGAGUUAUUCAGGUCAGAUCGUCAAACUGUUCAAAAAGUCUCGAUUCCCUCUUCGCUCCCUCGAGGUUGGCCUGCACGAAGACGUGAAUCAGUACCAGAAGUGGUCGUCUAGACAUCCGUAUCCUUUUUGUCAUUGAAUUUGACAACCAACAAUGUUUGGGGCCCAACAGUUUUUGCUAUCUCCCUGGUCGUAAAGUAAAGCAAUUUUUUCUGUUGUGUUUGCUGUCGAUAUAAAAACAUUGGAAAUCGACAAUCCUCCAUUUGAUUG